GAUUACCUUAGUAACGGCGAGUGAAGCGGUAACAGCUCAAAUUUGAAAUCUGGGUCUUUUAGGCUCCGAGUUGUAAUUUGUAGAAGAUGCUUUGGGUGCGGCCCCGGUCUAAGUUCCUUGGAACAGGACGUCAUAGAGGGUGAGAAUCCCGUAUGUGAUCGGUGGCUUGCGCCCGUGUAAAGCUCUUUCGACGAGUCGGGUUGUUUGGGAAUGCAGCUCUAAAUGGGUGGUAAAUUUCAUCUAAAGCUAAAUAUUGGCCAGAGACCGAUAGCGCACAAGUAGAGUGAUCGAAAGAUGAAAAGCACUUUGGAAAGAGAGUUAAACAGUACGUGAAAUUGUUGAAAGGGAAGCGCUUGCAACCAGACUUGCGCGGGGUUGAUCAUCCGGGGUUCUCCCCGGUGCACUCGGCCUCGCUCAGGCCAGCAUCGGUUUUGGUGGUUGGAUAAAGGCCUUGGGAAUGUGACUUCUUUCGGGGAGUGUUAUAGCCCUCGGUGCAAUGCAGCCUACCGGGACCGAGGACCGCGCUUCGGCUAGGAUGCUGGCGUAAUGGUUGUAAGCGACCCGUCUUGAAACACGGACCAAGGAGUCUAACAUCUAUGCGAGUGUUUGGGUGUCAAACCCAUACGCGUAAUGAAAGUGAACGGAGGUGAGAACCCUUAAGGGUGCAUCAUCGACCGAUCCUGAUGUCUUCGGAUGGAUUUGAGUAAGAGCAUAGCUGUUGGGACCCGAAAGAUGGUGAACUAUGCCUGAAUAGGGUGAAGCCAGAGGAAACUCUGGUGGAGGCUCGCAGCGGUUCUGACGUGCAAAUCGAUCGUCAAAUUUGGGCA
rnacentral:rRNA from 1 species